AACAGUGUGUGACAAACAUUUAUUAUUAGAAAUAUCAUGACAAAGCCUAACAAACCGCUAGCCCACGUUCAUACUGACAGAAAGCUAAAAACGAAAGUAGCAACUUGCAUUUUGUCCUUAGAAACAUGACGUUUUCCUGCAUUCACAGUUUGCAGCUUGGUUAACCGUGGUUUUCCCGGGACUCUUUUUAUAUAACAAUGACUAAUCACCUGAGAGCAAAGUACACAGUUUCCUGUGACAUAACGUCAGCUUACCGUAGCUAACGUCAUGCUACAAUGUGGCCCAAAAGUUAGCAAGCUAGCUAGAAAAAGUUUACUUAUCUAUGUCAGACGUAUUCCUAACUCCAUUCUAAUUUAACAGCAGCUAAAUCUGAACCGUGAGUCAGCUUCAAAGCAGAAGACAGCUCCGUAACUAUCAAAGUAACUAGGGGAAACCCAUCCAGGCUAGCUUGCUGUGCUAGCUCAAACGGUGGUUUCUUGGGGAUCUCGGCCGUCCUCUAACUUUUCUUCUGUAGCAGCAACACAGCGCUUUAGCUCGUCUACGCAACUAAGAAUCCCUGCAUAAGAUCCCUAAGCCUCUAAGUACUAAUUAACUAUGGAAAAGGCAAUGUUUCUUACCUUAUGCGGCCAAAGCACUAAUGACUCCUGCCCUGACUUCUUUCUGUCAUGGCUACGGUGAAGGCGCGUCACCUCCAGGCUUGAUAUACAGCAGACCUGGCAGUGACAACUGAUGUGCCAUCCUGGUGGAGUUGGACUACUUCCGCCACUUCUACAGGAUGCUGAUGACACACAGCAAGCGUUGCUAUGAACACACAAGUGGAGUGUGGUGAUGUCUAAGAUUUGUCAACAAUACACGUCUCUGAGGAGAGUCACUCAGCGGAUGCUGAUCUUCAAUCAAGAGCAGGACAGGAAGUUGUAUGGUAAAUGGACUGGUUGUUAUAAAGUGCUUUUCUAUUCUAUUUGAGCACUCAAAGGACUUUAUACAGUGAUGCUUGUGAUGUUUAUGAUGUAGUAGAGAGCAAGUUCACAAAAACAGUUCAAUAUUUGUCAAAAAAUGUCCAAUAUUCAUAAUUUUUCAAAAUUUAAUGCAACAUAUUUAUGUGGGCAACAGACAAAACAUUGUGCAAGUUACCAGGAAAGUAUUUGUUUUCUUUUUACUCAGUAAGUAUAAGCCUUUACAGACCAAGUGUGUUACGAAUAUUCAACAUGAGAUUCUGUGUUUAAAUUCUGAAUGUGAAUUUGUCGUGUAAUAUAUAAACACACACCAAGAAACUGAUGUAUAAUCUUUCUAUUCACCAAAUUAUCUUAUACAUGAUCUACUUCUCUGACACACGUUUGCCUUGUAAAAUUGAAUAAAACUAAAUAAUUUUUAAAAAGUCCAGGUUGAUUCACAAUAAAGACAGCAACUUAAUGAUGUAUACAUAUUUCAUAUAACCAUGACGUAAAACCCAUUUUAUAUAUAUGAAAUUUUUCUGACUUAGUAGUAGGUGCACAACUAAGCAUAAACUGGGCAUUAAUGUUAUCUUUUUCUUUCCCUGUUUAAUACAAACGUUAUAAAUAAAUUACAAUAUAAUAACUGGUCUUAUUUCAUUUGAUUAUUACUCUUUGGGAGGAAAUUCUAAAUUUUAAUGAUACAUCUAUAAAUAUACCAGUUAAUCAUUCAAAACCAGUGACUGU